CCAGUAGUCUAUUGGCGAUUGUACCGUCGCCAUCUUCUUUGUUUACGAUUUGGAUCAUCAUAUAGGCUUCCACAAAUUUGCCUAAUACACCGCACUGAGGCAUGGGGGAGUGUUGCCCUGCUUAAGGAACUAAAACACACACACACACACACACACACACACACACACACACACACACA